GCCCCCGUAAUGAGUGCUGAGGCAAGUGGACACACUCACAGUGGACUUGACUCAUUCAUAAUGCACUGUGUUCCUCUGAGUACCCUGCCUGCCCAGUCACCCACGCCACACUUCUUGGGAGGCACCGCUCCUCCCUCCAAACGAUUUAUGAGGUGAAGGUUGCAGUCCAGGCACGGGGCACUGUUAAGCGCCUUGAGACAAUUUUAUUGUUUUGGCGCUAUUUGAAUUGAAUUGAAUUGAAUUGAAUUGAAUUGAAUUGAAUUGAAUUGAAUUCUUACAUCCUCACAGUUCUGAGACAGUCCCAACCAUCCCCAUCAGUCGUCAUGGAGAUUAUAUGGAAUGACAUGUUAUACCAGAUUUCUCCAAGGCUUGUACACCACAUUUUUGACAAACCCGUGUUGUAUCUUAACUUGAUCAAAAACCGACUACAGGAUGUACACUACCAGCUGAUCAAAAUGCAAAAAGAAUGAACAUAGAUAAAUGCUUCUGCAUGCAAGUUAUGCUCAAAAGAAAGUUCUCAAAUCAAUUUAGAAUGUCGUCAUCCAUUUCACAAAAUGAUGUUCCUCACCAAUUUUUGCUGCUAAGGUGUUAUUGUUAUUGUUUACUGUACAUUGUUUACUUUACAAAUUGGCUACAUUUGGGUGCACAUUCUGGGAAGUUAUUUAGUCAAAGUUCAAAACCGAUGCCUGGCCUUCUUGUGACCUGUAAUUAUCACACUGUGCUAAACUUAUAGCCUAGGUCUUUAUUAUCACACUACGCUAAACUAUAGCCUAGGUCUUUCUAUUAAUCAAAAUAAAAGGGAAACAAUAGAUAUACUGUUUCAGAUUUAGCAGGCCAGUCAUUUGGAAGCUUAAUAUGUAGUUUUCAUGCCUGCCUACAGUCAGUCCUGCAUUUUCCAUGAGCGUUUUAGUUAAAGUCUACAACUAAACUAGUAGAACCUGAGUAGAACACCAAAUAAUUUGCGCAUACAUUAACAUCUCCUGCAGUCCCUGCGUCUGGUUUGACAGAGUGUGGAUCAUUAGUCACUCUUAUCAAUUUUACAAUUUAAAUCAGAAUCAGGUUUUAUCAGAAUCUGGUUUUAUUGGCCAAGUAAGUUUGCACAAACAAGGAAUUUGACUUGGUGAAGUAAAGUGGCUCUGUUUUGUUCAUGCUACCCCUUAGAUAGUUAGAGCAUUGGUCCAGCUACUGGUA
ensembl:lncRNA